rnacentral:rRNA from 1 species
CUCUGAGGGUACAGUCAUGUCCCGAGUCGAUCGGGAUUGUUCUUCCCCUCUAACAGGAGUUUACAACCUUACGGCAUUCAUCCUCCACGCGGCGUUGCUGGGUCAGGCUUUCGCCCAUUGCCCAAUAUUCCUC